rnacentral:rRNA from 1 species
GAUGAACGCUGGCGGCGUGCUUAACACAUGCAAGUCGAACGGAAAGGCCAGUGCUUGCACUGGUGCUCGAGUGGCGAACGGGUGAGUAACACGUGGGUGAUCUGCCCUGCACUUUGGGAUAAGCCUGGGAAACUGGGUCUAAUACCAGAUAGGACCAUGCUUUGGUUGGUGUGGUGGAAAGUUUUUUCGGUGUGGGAUGAGCUUGCGGCCUAUCAGCUUGUUGGUGGGGUAAUGGCCUACCAAGGCGUCGACGGGUAGCCGGCCUGAGAGGGUGUACGGCCACAGUGAGACUGGGACACGGCCAAGACUCCUACGGGAGGCAGAAGUGGGGAAUGUUGCACAAUGGGAGCGAGCGUGAUGCAGAGGCGCCGCGUGGGGGAUGAUGGCGUUCGGGUUGUAAUCUCCUUUCGCUACUGACGAAGCUUUUUGUGACGGUAGGUUGAGAAGAAGCACCGGCUAACUACGUG